AGAAAGCUGCUCCUGCAGCCUAACAAGGUGAGAUGAAAAACAAUUCAAAUGAUUAAGAAAAUAUUCAUUGUCAUUUAGCAGCUCUGUUUACUUCAAGACUGACCCCCACCACCUCUCUCUCUCUCUUACAGGAUGCCCUCCUAAAGCCUUUCCCAGAUUCCCCAUAUGUGUACAAUUCUCUAGAUUUUUCUAAAUUAGUAGUAGUCGUACUUUAAAGAUACUGUGAUCAUUUAACUCACUCAAUCAUUUCCAUCUUCCUCUCUCUGCCUGCUUCUCUUUCUUUUAAAGGUUGUCUUGUUUGAGGAGGAUAUAUUUUACGUCUGUUUUGACUUGCUUUAAGGAUGCCAUCACUUCUGUUCUGUGUGAUCCACGAUUGUCCAGGAGAUUGACAGGGCUAGGGAUCCUUUCUUGUUGGUGAGUAUACAAUCUAUACAACUAUAUAACUUUUACUAGUGAUGCUGCAUCAUGUCUCACAUUCACAGGAUGCCUUUGUUUGUUUGCAAAGAUUUUACACAGAGUUAAGAGUUCACACAGAUCUUUUUUAAUUGGUGAGUUUACAAUCAAUCUAUACAGCACUACUUUGUCUCUAAAUACACUGAUCAUCUGAUCAAUCAUUUAUCAUGUUUACUUUCUCUCCACCAUAUGUACAGGAUGCCCUCGCUUCUGUUUUUUAAAUGCCUGCAGCCUUUUCCAGAUUCCCACUCUAGUUGUCUUGUUUGAGGAGAUCUUUUCUAUCUGUUUGUGUGUUCACAAGCAACAUUUACUUGGUGAGUGAGUAUAGUUAUGCAAUUCUGUUUUUUGUUUCCCAGAACAUUCUGAUCUGUACUGUAAUCAAUUAUGUUAUUAUUGAUCAUGUCUCUCCCCCCCCCUCUCUCUCCCUCUCUUUCUCUCUCUGUCUCUCUUUCUGUCUCUCCAGCUUUAAGGAUGCCCUCAGUUCUGUGAUCCAUGAUUGUCCAGGAGAUUAUUUAUUUAAGACCUUUAUUCUUUGCC